rnacentral:rRNA from 1 species
UACGUAGGGUGCAAGCGUUAUCCGGAAUUAUUGGGCGUAAAGAGCUCGUAGGCGGUUUGUCGCGUCUGCUGUGAAAACCCGAGGCUCAACCUCGGGCCUGCAGUGGGUACGGGCAGACUAGAGUGCGGUAGGGGAGACUGGAAUUCCUGGUGUAGCGGUGAAAUGCGCAGAUAUCAGGAGGAACACCGGUGGCGAAGGCGGGUCUCUGGGCCGUAACUGACGCUGGAGGAGCGAAAGCCGUGGGAGCGAACGGG